UUCAGGUCCCCCCGCAACGAUUACCCGUCAACCUGGUCAGGUCCGGAAGGAAGCAGCCACAGCGGGAACAUUGUGUGCCGGGG
rnacentral:SRP_RNA from 1 species